AGAGUUUGAUCCUGGCUCAGGACGAACGCUGGCGGCGUGCCUAAUGCAUGCAAGUCGAGCGGGCUACGAUCUUCGGAUUGUAGCUUAGCGGCGAACGGGUGAGUAACACGUAGGUAAUCUACCCUUCAGAGGAGGACAACCUCAGGAAACUGAGGCUAAACCUUCAUACGUUCACUGGUAGGGAUACUGGUGAAGAAAGAGUUACCUUAGUGGUAGCUGCUGAAGGAUGAGCCUGCGGCCCAUCAGGUAGUUGGUGAGGUAACGGCUCACCAAGCCGAAGACGGGUAACCGGUCUGAGAGGAUGUCCGGUCACACUGGGACUGAGACACGGCCCAGACUCCUACGGGAGGCAGCAGCAGGGAAUCUUGGGCAAUGGGCGAAAGCCUGACCCAGCGACGCCGCGUGGAGGGAGAAGUCCUUCGGGGCGUAAACUCCUGGACUGGGGGACGAGGAAGGACGGUACCCCAGUAGAAAGGGACGGCUAACUACGUGCCAGCAGCCGCGGUAAAACGUAGGUCCCGAGCGUUGUUCGGAUUCACUGGGUGUAAAGGGCGCGUAGGUGGUUGUCUGUGUCUCAUGUGAAAACUCAGGGCUCAACUCUGAGAUUGCGUGGGAAACUAGGCAGCUAGAGGACGGUAGAGGGGAGUGGAAUUCCCGGUGUAGCGGUAAAAUGCGUAGAUAUCGGGAGGAACACCGGUGGCGAAGGCGGCUCUCUGGGCCGAUCCUGACGCUGAGGCGCGAAAGCUAGGGGAGCGAACCGGAUUAGAUACCCGGGUAGUCCUAGCCGUACACGAUGGGUGCUAGGUGUUGGGGGGUAAAGACCCUUCAGUGCCGAAGCCAACGCGAUAAGCAUCCCACCUGGGGAGUACGGCCGCAAGGUUGAAACUCAAUGAAUUGACGG
rnacentral:rRNA from 1 species